CAGGCCUAACACCUGCAAGUCGAGCGGAGAUGAGGUGCUUGCACCUUAUCUUAGCGGCGGACGGGUGAGUAAUACUUAGGAAUCUGCCUAUUAGUGGGGGACAACAUUUCGAAAGGGAUGCUAAUACCGCAUACGCCCUACGGGGGAAAGCAGGGGAUCAUUUGACCUUGCGCUAAUAGAUGAGCCUAAGUCGGAUUAGCUAGUUGGUGGGGUAAAGGCCUACCAAGGCGACGAUCUGUAGCGGGUCUGAGAGGAUGAUCCGCCACACUGGGACUGAGACACGGCCCAGACUCCUACGGGAGGCAGCAGUGGGGAAUAUUGGACAAUGGGGGGAACCCUGAUCCAGCCAUGCCGCGUGUGUGAAGAAGGCCUUUUGGUUGUAAAGCACUUUAAGCGAGGAGGAGGCUACUGGUAUUAAUACUACUGGAUAGUGGACGUUACUCGCAGAAUAAGCACCGGCUAACUCUGUGCCAGCAGCCGCGGUUAA
rnacentral:rRNA from 1 species